UUGAUCUUAACGGUUUUAUGACUAAUUUCUCUAGUUUUGACAGAGAUUGAGGUGAUAUUGGAAAAAGAGAUGAAAAGCCAAGAAAAUGCAUCUUAGAAGGGCAUAAAAAGGCACCUGAAGGAGGGAAAACACAAAGGUUGGGCGACUAGAGCCAAAGCCUGGGCGACCAAAAUCGACAUCCACCGCCCGGGCGGUGGGGCUUCGUAGCUUGGGCGUCCAAUUUCAAAGCCUGGGCCUUACAUGACCCGUUUUGGCCGCUUGGGCGGACUCCCUGGAAGUUUGGGCGUCAACUUUCGUGGACCAGGCCCUGUUUCUGCUCUGUUUUGAUUCUUUUGUACCAGACCCUGUUUUAGCACGCCUUUGACACUAUUUAAAGGACCUUGGG
rnacentral:lncRNA from 1 species